AAUGACCCUGCGUGGCCUCUAGAGGGUCCCCAUUGCUAAUCCUCCCUUUACACACAGCCAGCAAAUGGGCUGCCCCACCUCUUCUUGAUCCCCUCAUGCUGGGGACUCAAGUUUGGGACAUUUUGUGAGGGCUGCAGGCCUGCUCAUAACUGCCAUUCAGUGCUCAUGGAGCCUUGUAUUCUGGCUUUGUAAGUCAGGGAAGAGCCUUUCACAAGCGUGAGAGAGAGGUUCUGGUCAGGUCUGUGCUCCUCCACUCAGGGGUCUUAUACACGUC
rnacentral:lncRNA from 1 species